rnacentral:rRNA from 1 species
UAAUUGAAGAGUUUGAUCAUGGCUCAGAUUGAACGCUGGCGGCAGGCCUAACACAUGCAAGUCGGGCGGUAACAGGGAGAAGCUUGCUUCUCUGCUGACGAGCGGCGGACGGGUGAGUAAUGUAUGGGGAUCUGCCUGAUGGCGGGGGAUAACUACUGGAAACGGUAGCUAAUACCGCAUAAUGUCUUCGGACCAAAGCGGGGGACCUU